UUAAUGAGUGAGAAAGAGAGCGUGAGUGAAAAAUCAUCUCUUCUCUCACAGAUUAUCUUUUUUUUUAUAUACCAGAUCAGUUUUUUUUAAAAAAAAAAUAAGCGUGAACUAAAUCAUCAUUACUUCUCUGAUAAACCAGAUUUCAUUACUUCUUCUGCCAGCGUCCUUUCAUCUUCCAAGAAAUAUUUUCUUCCAAAUCUUCUCAAAAUCUCCCAUCUCUCCAGACUAAAAAUCCCUGCAAUCAUUUCACUCUUCUCUUCCUUUAAUAUAUAUAUCCUCCUUCCCUCACUCAAAGUUCUUUUCACUGUUCCUGCACAAUUAUCCUCCAGACAACAGAACUUGGAAAAAGAACUGAAUCAGUUAAGCCAAAACAACAAAGACACCAAAAAUCCUCUUACUAAAAAGGUUCGUUCCUUCCCCUUUUUAUUAUAGAACUUGCAUUACUCUUUAGCAUAGCACCAUUACAAGAACAUAGAUCUCUAGCUCUUAUACCACAUCAAUGACCAUGAUAUAAUCUUACUCUAUGUACUGCUCUAAACAAAACAAAGAAAAAAAAAAAGAAAGGGAGAAGAAUCUGUAACAAACCAAGAACUCUUUCAUAGCCUCAAAAAUUCUGAACUUCAACUCCAAGACUCAAUUUUUUUUAUCCCAAGAACUUGCUCUUCAUUUCAACCUACAAGUAUCGAUUCUUUCUCCUUGAUUGGGACGGGUCUGGAACGUGAGUGUGUGAGGAGUGGAUUUUCUGUCCCCUCGAUGGCUGCCGGAGAAGACGGCCGGGCAGAGGCGAGGUAGCGCGAAGAACGCCGGCGCCGGAGGGAAGGAGAUGAAGGCUGCAGCUCCUCCCCCUCUUUGACCGCUGCUGCCAGAGGAUUCAGGAGGAGGGACGACCCCUCAGUGGAAUGGGACGCAGGAGGAAGGGCGCCGGUGGACGGCGACGGCACGACCGAGGGCCUGCCGCCACUGACCACCGCGAAUGCAGCAGCAGCGGCGGCGACCCUCUUCGGUCGACCGCCGCCCAAUUUACGCCAGGAGAGAGAGAGGGAUGGAGGGGUGGCAGAGCGUCGUGGCCCGGACGACCCCGUCUCGCCGGAGUUGAAGCAGCGGCGGCGGCGCGGCUAGGCAAGAGAGAGGCGAGAGUUUGAGAGAGAAGGGGGGGGUGAGACGAGAGAGA